GUAGGGAAUAUUGGGCAAUGGAGGCAACUCUGACCCAGCCAUGCCGCGUGCAGGAUGACGGCCCUCUGGGUUGUAAACUGCUUUUAUACGGGAAGAAAAAAUACUACGUGUAGUAUACUGACGGUACCGUAAGAAUAAGGAUCGUCUAACUCCGUGCCAGCAGCCGCGGUAAUACGGAGGAUCCAAGCGUUGUCCGGAUUUAUUGGGUUUAAAGGGUGCGUAGGCGGAUCUUUAAGUCAGUGGUGAAAGCCUGCAGCUUAACUGUAGAAUUGCCAUUGAAACUGAAGAUCUUGAAUGUGGUUAAAGUAGGCGGAAUGUAUCAUGUAGCGGUGAAAUGCUUAGAUAUGAUACAGAACACCGAUAGCGAAGGCAGCUUGCUGAACCAUUAUUGACGCUGAGGCACGAAAGCGUGGGGAGCGAACAGGAUUAGAUACCCCGGUAGUCC
rnacentral:rRNA from 1 species